rnacentral:lncRNA from 1 species
GGCCUUGUCAGCAGUGAGUACAUGGCCUUGGUUGGAAAGAGAAGACUUGAAGCACAUUCAUGUCUUUAGAUUUAGAUUUCAGACUGGCAAUCAGACUAAUUCUAAGAGAACUGGAGGCCACAUGAGACAUCCUGGGGCC